rnacentral:rRNA from 1 species
UUGUAAUUUGCAGAGGAUGCUUCGGGUGCGGUCCCCGUCUAAGUGCCCUGGAACGGGCCGUCAUAGAGGGUGAGAAUCCCGUCUGGGAUGGGCGGCCGCGCCCGUGUGAAGCUCCUUCGACGAGUCGAGUUGUUUGGGAAUGGAGCUCUAAGCGGGUGGUAAAUUUCAUCUAAAGCUAAAUACUGGCCGGAGACCGAUAGCGCACAAGUAGAGUGAUCGAAAGAUGAAAAGCACUUUGAAAAGAGAGUUAAACAGCACGUGAAAUUGUUGAAAGGGAAGCGUUGUCCACCAGACUCGCCCGGGGGGGUUCAGCCGGCACGUGUGCCGGUGUACUCCUCUCCGGGCGGGCCAGCAUCGGUUUGGGCGGCUGGUGAAAGGCCCCGGGAAUGUAACACCCUCCGGGGUGCCUUAUAGCCCGGGGUGCCAUACAGCCAGCCUGGACCGAGGCCCGCGCUUCGGCGAGGAUGCUGGCGUAAUGGUGGUCAACGGCCCGUCUUGAAACACGGACCAAGGAGUCUAACAUCUAUGCGAGUGUUCGGGUGUCAAACCCGUCCGCGCAGUGAAAGCGAACGGAGGUGGGAGCCCCUCGGGGUGCACCAUCGACCGAUCCUGAUGUCUUCGGAUGGAUUUGAGUAAGAGCAUAGCUGUUGGGACCCGAAAGAUGGUGAACUAUGCCUGAAUAGGGCGAAGCCAGAGGAAACUCUGGUGGAGGCUCGCAGCG